rnacentral:rRNA from 1 species
GGCCUACCAAGGCGACGAUCCGUAGCUGGUCUGAGAGGACGACCAGCCACACUGGGACUGAGACACGGCCCAGACUCCUACGGGAGGCAGCAGUGGGGAAUUUUGGACAAUGGGGGCAACCCUGAUCCAGCAAUGCCGCGUGUGUGAAGAAGGCCUUCGGGUUGUAAAGCACUUUUGUCCGGAAAGAAAUCCUUUGGGCUAAUACCUUGAGGGGAUGACGGUACCGGAAGAAUAAGCACCGGCUAACUACGUGCCAGCAGCCGCGGUAAUACGUAGGGUGCAAGCGUUAAUCGGAAUUACUGGGCGUAAAGCGUGCGCAGGCGGUUCGCUAAGACAGAUGUGAAAUCCCCGGGCUUAACCUGGGAACUGCAUUUGUGACUGGCGGGCUAGAGUAUGGCAGAGGGGGGUAGAAUUCCACGUGUAGCAGUGAAAUGCGUAGAGAUGUGGAGGAAUACCGAUGGCGAAGGCAGC